GCCGGCAUAGCUCAGUUGGUAGAGCAACCGCCUCGUAAGCGGUAGGUCGGACGUUCAACUCGUCUUGCCGGCACCA
rnacentral:tRNA from 1 species